rnacentral:piRNA from 1 species
UAACUGGACUACACGGCACGUGCCUGAGA